AUUGAACGCUGGCGGCAGGCCUAACACAUGCAAGUCGAACGAGUGGCGGACGGGUGAGUAAUGUCUGGGAAACUGCCUGAUGGAGGGGGCUAACUACUGGAAACGGUAGCUAAUACCGCAUAACAUCAGAUGAGCCAAGAUGGGCUUAGGUUGUUGGUGGGGUAACGGCUCACCAAGGCGAAGAUCCCUAGCUGGUCUGAGAGGAUGACCAGCCAAACUGGAACGGAGACACGGCCCAGAUUCCUACGGGGGGCAGCAGUGGGAAAUAUCGCACAAUGGGCACAAGCCUGAUGCAGCAAGGCGGCGUGUAUGAAGAGGGCCUCGGGGUGGUAAAGGACUUUCAGCGGGAAGGCGGUACCCGCAGAAGAAGCACCGGCUAACUCCGUGCCAGCAGCCGCGGUAAUA
rnacentral:rRNA from 1 species